GGUUGUGGCUCAGUAGUAGAGCAUUUGUCUAGCACGUGUGAGGCCCUGGGUUCGAUCCUCAGCACCA
rnacentral:tRNA from 1 species